ensembl:lncRNA
UGCACACUGACACCAAACUAGAGCAAUGCCGAAAACAAUAUUUUGAGUUGGCGAAGGCCGGCGAAGAGAGAAACUGCCAAAUGUCAAAGGACCUCAGAUGUCGGCUCAUCCGAAACACCAUGACCAGUAUGAUCGCAAUCCUGAGGGCAACGGGGGACAGAGACAGAUACCCGUCAAAGCCAGAAAUAACAGCUAUGGCAAAGCGAACAGUGCUGUACUACCCCAUGCUGCAGGGCCGAGACCUGAGCAGCAAGUUACUGUGUACUCACAGCUAUACAAAAGAUUGAAAAAUUUGAGAUCACCCCAAAAGACCAAUCCAAAGAGGCGCCGACUCGAGGAGCUAAAGUGCCAACCUGACUGACCCAGAUGAAUUUGAUUCAAGUGACUCAACAGUCAUUCUGGAUCUCCCCUCAAAAGGGGGUAGCAUUCAAGCAUUCAAGACUUCCCUUCUGAAGGGAGUAGCACCCCAGACUCGGGCAACAAUGCCAGAUAUGCCCGCAUCUUUGCGUAAGAAGAAAACUCCAAACCGACAGACACAAGAAAAUUCCAGAGGACAUUGGACAUGUGAUGGAGGAGCUUCAACGCAUUCUGGACAAAAAUAACAUCCAUUACAUUGAUGAGCUGAAGGGAAGAUGGGACGACUUCUGCCAGAAGGUGCAGUUUUUUGGUGUGUGGAAAAAGCUGCUGAAACCCUCAGUAGGAAUGGACAAAGCAGAUGUUGUAAACUGUUGGUCAGAUUUGACCUUGUAUUACACAUAUUAUCCUCAACAAUUGAACAGGCUCUCAGUAUCCUACGUGUGCUGCCUUCAUUGUCCCCCUCUUCAUCUGCUCCUCUGAAGAAGUUAGGACAUGUGAGUGAGGCUCUUGUGCAUGUCCUCAAGGAAAAAGAAGACCCCAAUGACUAUUUGAAGAAACGUCGUCUCUCCUGCCCAGUCCUUAUUGUGCGUAGCCACUCUGCUCUCUGUCAUAAAAACGGAGGUUCUCUUGGACACAAUCCAUGAGCGAGACCUCACACCAUCUUUCAAGAAGGGCAUGGCUGACUGGAAAGCUUUUGUUGGCAAGUAAAGCCGUUUCCAUUCUUAUUUAGCAAAUGUUUCCCAAUGUUAAGGUCGCAAUAAUAACAAUGUUGUUGAUCUAUUGAGGGACACAGUGGUCAAAUAUUUAUGUUAAUGUUAGCCCAAGACCCAUAACUUGUUGCAAUAAUAAGCACAUUGUAAGUGUAUUGAGGAGACAGAGGUCAGAUGAUUAUGUCUGACUGUAAUCCAUGUGUUACACAUAUAUGUCAUGUUUUGCUAUGUUUUUUUACUAUUAUUAGUAUUUUAUUACAGUGCCAUACACACUGCGCCAAAACAUGACUGGUGCUGCAGGCACAGUGUAACUGACUGACUGCACUGUAUUGUAAGAAUUGUUUGCUCCCUCCUGCAUUUCAGAGCUAAAGAGGCAUGCUCUUUCUUAUGCAAAUAAAAUAUUUGUUUGUUUAAUGCACAA